UACGAAGGGGGCUAGCGUUGCUCGGAAUCACUGGGCGUAAAGGGUGCGUAGGCGGGUCUUUAAGUCAGGGGUGAAAUCCUGGAGCUCAACUCCAGAACUGCCUUUGAUACUGAGGAUCUUGAGUACGGGAGAGGUGAGUGGAACUGCGAAUGUAGAGGUGAAAUUCGUAGAUAUUCGCAAGAACACCAGUGGCGAAGGCGGCUCACUGGCCCGUUACUGACGCUGAGGCACGAAAGCGUGGGGAGCAAACAGG
rnacentral:rRNA from 1 species